CCUACGGGAGGCAGCAGUGAGGAAUAUUGGUCAAUGGGCGGAAGCCUGAACCAGCCAAGUAGCGUGCAGGAUGACGGCCCUACGGGUUGUAAACUGCUUUUAUACGGGAAUAACGCGCCUUACGUGUAGGGCUUUGCAUGUACCGUAUGAAUAAGGACCGGCUAAUUCCGUUACAGCAGCCGCGGUAAUACGGAAGGUCCGUGCGUUAUCCGGAUUUAUUGGGUUUAAAGGGAGCGUAGGCCGCAUGUCAAGCGUGCUGUGAAAUGUCCGGGCUCAACCCGGGCCUUGCAGGGCGUACUGGCGUGCUUGAGUCCGCGGAAGGCAGGCGGAAUUCGUCGUGUAGCGGUGAAAUGCUUAGAUAUGACGAAGAACCCCGAUUGCGAAGGCAGCUUGCUGCAGCGGAACUGACGCUGAUGCUCGAAAGCGCGGGUAUCGAACAGGAUUAGAUACCCGUGUAGUC
rnacentral:rRNA from 1 species